GGCUUCGUGACCGAGUUGGUUAAGGUGGUAGAUUCGAAUUGUCGAAACAUCUACUGGGCUUGCCCGCGCGCGUUCGAAUCGCGUCGAAGCCU
rfam:Plasmodiophora brassicae isolate e3 genome assembly, contig: scaffold_66